rnacentral:rRNA from 1 species
UGCUUUCUUUGCUGGCGACCGGCGCACGGGUGAGUAACACGUAUCCAACCUGCCCUUUACUCGGGGAUAGCCUUUCGAAAGAAAGAUUAAUACCCGAUAGCAUAAUGAUUCCGCAUGGUUUCAUUAUUAAAGGAUUCCGGUAAAGGAUGGGGAUGCGUUCCAUUAGGUUGUUGGUGAGGUAACGGCCCACCAAGCCUUCGAUGGAUAGGGGUUCUGAGAGGAAGGUCCCCCACAUUGGAACUGAGACACGGUCCAAACUCCUACGGGAGGCAGCAGUGAGGAAUAUUGGUCAAUGGGCGUUAGCCUGAACCAGCCAAGUAGCGUGAAGGAUGAAGGCUCUAUGGGUCGUAAACUUCUUUUAUAUAAGAAUAAAGUGCAGUAUGUAUACUGUUUUGUAUGUAUUAUAUGAAUAAGGAUCGGCUAACUCCGUGCCAGCAGCCGCGGUAAUACGGAGGAUCCGAGCGUUAUCCGGAUUUAUUGGGUUUAAAGGGAGCGUAGGUGGACUGGUAAGUCAGUUGUGAAAGUUUGCGGCUCAACCGUAAAAUUGCAGUUGAUACCGUCAGUCUUGAGUACAGUAGAGGUGGGCGGAAUUCGUGGUGUAGCGGUGAAAUGCUUAGAUAUCACGAAGAACUCCGAUUGCGA